rnacentral:rRNA from 2 species
UACGAAGGGUGCAAGCGUUACUCGGAAUUACUGGGCGUAAAGCGUGCGUAGGCGGUUUGUUAAGUCUGAUGUGAAAUCCCCGGGCUCAACCUGGGACGUGCAUUGGAAACUGGCGAUCUAGAGUACGGUAGAGGGUGGUGGAAUUCCCGGUGUAGCAGUGAAAUGCGUAGAGAUCGGGAGGAACACUCGUGGCGAAGGCGGCCACCUGGACCAGUACUGACGCUGAGGCACGAAAGCGUGGGGAGCAAACAGG